rnacentral:rRNA from 1 species
CCUACGGGCGGCAGCAGUGGGGAAUAUUGCACAAUGGGGGAAACCCUGAUGCAGCAACGCCGCGUGAAGGAAGACGGUUUUCGGAUUGUAAACCUCUGUUCUUAGUGAAGAAUAAUGACGGUAGCAAAGGAGCAAGCCUCGGCUAACUACGUGCAAGCAGCCGCGGUAAGACGCAGGUGGCAAGCGUUGUCCGGAAUUACUGGGUGUAAAGGGAGCGGAGGCGGGGAGCCAAGUCAGCUGUGAAAACUACGGGCUUAACUUGUAGACUGCAGUUGAAACUGGUUUUUUUGAGUGAAGUAGAGGUAGGCGGAAUUCCGAGUGUAGCGGUGAAAUGCGUAGAGAUUCGGAGGAACACCGGUGGCGAAGGCGGCCAACUGGGCUUUAACUGACGCUGAUGCUCGAAAGUGUGGGGAUCAAACAGGAUUAGAUACCCCUGUAGUC